AUUGGGGAAGGGGGGUUUUUUUUUUUAGGGUUUUUUGCCCUGUCAGGACGAACGCUGGCGGCGUGCCUAAUACAUGCAAGUCGAGCGGACAGAUGGGAGCUUGCUCCCUGAUGUUAGCGGCGGACGGGUGAGUAACACGUGGGUAACCUGCCUGUAAGACUGGGAUAACUCCGGGAAACCGGGGCUAAUACCGGAUGCUUGUUUGAACCGCAUGGUUCAAACAUAAAAGGUGGCUUCGGCUACCACUUACAGAUGGACCCGCGGCGCAUUAGCUAGUUGGUGAGGUAAUGGCUCACCAAGGCAACGAUGCGUAGCCGACCUGAGAGGGUGAUCGGCCACACUGGGACUGAGACACGGCCCAGACUCCUACGGGAGGCAGCAGUAGGGAAUCUUCCGCAAUGGACGAAAGUCUGACGGAGCAACGCCGCGUGAGUGAUGAAGGUUUUCGGAUCGUAAAGCUCUGUUGUUAGGGAAGAACAAGUACCGUUCGAAUAGGGCGGUACCUUGACGGUACCUAACCAGAAAGCCACGGCUAACUACGUGCCAGCAGCCGCGGUAAUACGUAGGUGGCAAGCGUUGUCCGGAAUUAUUGGGCGUAAAGGGCUCGCAGGCGGUUUCUUAAGUCUGAUGUGAAAGCCCCCGGCUCAACCGGGGAGGGUCAUUGGAAACUGGGGAACUUGAGUGCAGAAGAGGAGAGUGGAAUUCCACGUGUAGCGGUGAAAUGCGUAGAGAUGUGGAGGAACACCAGUGGCGAAGGCGACUCUCUGGUCUGUAACUGACGGCCGAAGGAGGGCG
rnacentral:rRNA from 2 species